AGUUCAGUGUGGUAAUUCACGUCCUCUUCACAACAGCGCUGAUAAAAAACAGAUGUAGUAACCAGAGGAGGCCACCAGGGGGAGCAGAGUGUGUGAGCUGUGAAGGAGGCGCGUCACUCCCCGCCCUCAGUGAAUACACGCAUGAGCGGAGGGAAGUUUGUGUGUGUGCGUCUUUCACACAAUAUUCCCCUUUUUAGUGUCAGUGGUUAUUAUACGAAGUGAUCCCUCAGAACAGUUUGAUUGGUUGUUUCUGCGGUUGCCAAUCACGGCCACUAGAGGGCAGUCGCAGCGUGGACAUUGGAAAGUUCUGGAGAGAAACGCGUUUCAGACCGUCGUCUCACUUGUGUCAAGUGUUCCUGUUGUUUCGGGCGUUUCGGUGUGAUUUUCCCUCCGUGUGUGCGUUCAGAUCUCAAACCACACACAUAUACACAACGUGCAUUUAUUUGUAUCUCAAUAAAUCUUGAAAAGGGACCAUGUGGUGAUGCCGUCUAAUGGAUGUCCCCUGGGGGCCACAGCUUUACUCAGAACUCCACAUCAGUUAAUGUUUACUAGAACAUUUGGGUGUCCUGAUCCUGAUCAAAUCGUGACCUUAUCAGCUCCAGUGAAGAACUCCACAUGCAGCAGAUUCCUGCCCCUGCAGAGCGAUGCAGCAUCCAGCCUGGAUGGAUAACUGUGCCGUGUCCCUCCCAGCACGACCACAGUUUGCGUUUGUCCCUCAGGAAGCAGCUUACCCGCCAGAGAAACAGUGACCCUCCUGCAGCAUGGAGGGACCUUCUGGGAGAUACGCCAAGAUGACACCUCUCAUACCUUCGCCAGCUGACAAGACUGGGGUGCUGUGCUGGGAGCAGGUGCAAAGCAUCUCCACUUGUCUGAACCUGUUAGCCCCAGUUCCAAAGCAAACCCGCUUGGCCCUGGCGUAAGCCAGCUCUAGAAACCGUACCAGAUGAAUGAACCUGCAGACGUGACUUGUUGCUGCCCCUCCAGAUCCACCACUGCAACCGGAGUCUGACCUCCCUCCUGAACAGGUGUGAGAGCCCACCUGCUGCUGCGCUCCAUAACACAGGAAGAGGACAUGUACUGGACCGGAUGAGGACAGUGCCUGUCUGCUGCUCCACCUCCUGAAGCAGAUGACACAUACUGGACACCACCUCCAGCGCCAAACUUGAUAACCGAGUGCUUUUAUUAUGACAAUGAAUCAAAGAAGUCAUGCAGAGAUAUUUCAUGAUUAAAGUCCAAAAUGAAAUUGUACAUGAACGGCAAAAAUAAAAACCCAAAUCAAACCACAGCCAAGUUUAACUCAAACAAUAAAUAAAGUCCUGAUUUUAGAAA